rnacentral:rRNA from 1 species
UACGUAGGGGGCAAGCGUUGUCCGGAAUCAUUGGGCGUAAAGCGCGCGUAGGCGGCUAGAUCAGUCUGCUGUAAAAGUCAAAGGCUCAACCUUUGAAAGCCGGUGGAUACUGUCUAGCUAGAGUCCGGAAGAGGCGAGUGGAAUUCCUGGUGUAGCGGUGAAAUGCGCAGAUAUCAGGAGGAACACCAAUGGCGAAGGCAGCUCGCUGGGACGUGACUGACGCUGAGACGCGAAAGCGUGGGGAGCAAACAGG